rnacentral:misc_RNA from 1 species
AAGUCGUAACAAGGUUACCGUAGGUGAACCUGCGGUAGGAUCAUUCUUGUAAAGAUCUGACAACGCUUCGUUUUUAAGGGUGAUUCCGAUACUCGAACGUUGUCAACUUGUAAAAUUAACACUUUGAAUUAACUUAAAAAAACGGGUGACCAUGUAUGGUGGGCAAUUUAUUGCUCAUCCAUAAGCUGGCUCCUGGGGGUCUUUGCUAACAAACAAAAUUUUUAUUGCCUUAGAACAGUUGAAUUAAAUACAACCUUAAAAAAUGGAUCUCUUGGCUCCA